CAGCCGCCGCGGGAAUACCGAGGGUGCGAGCGUUAAUCGGAUUUACUGGGCGUAAAGCGUGCGUAGGCGGCUUCUUAAGUCGGAUGUGAAAUCCCUGAGCUUAACUUAGGAAUUGCAUUCGAUACUGGGAAGCUAGAGUAUGGGAGAGGAUGGUAGAAUUCCAGGUGUAGCGGUGAAAUGCGUAGAGAUCUGGAGGAAUACCGAUGGCGAAGGCAGCCAUCUGGCCUAACACUGACGCUGAGGUACGAAAGCAUGGGGAGCAAACAGGAUUAGAUACCCCUGUAGUCCCUGUCUCUUAUAC
rnacentral:rRNA from 1 species